GAUGAACGCUGGCGGCGUGCCUAAUACAUGCAAGUCGAGCGAACGGACGAGAAGCUUGCUUCUCUGAUGUUAGCGGCGGACGGGUGAGUAACACGUGGAUAACCUACCUAUAAGACUGGGAUAACUUCGGGAAACCGGAGCUAAUACCGGAUAAUAUUUUGAACCGCAUGGUUCAAAAGUGAAAGACGGUCUUGCUGUCACUUAUAGAUGGAUCCGCGCUGCAUUAGCUAGUUGGUAAGGUAACGGCUUACCAAGGCAACGAUGCAUAGCCGACCUGAGAGAGUGAUCGGCCACACUGGAACUGAGACACGGUCCUGACUCCUACGGGAGGCAGCAGUAGGGAAUCUUCCGCAAUGGGCGAAAGCAUGACGGAGCAACGCCGCGUGAGUGAUGAAGGUCUUCGGAUCGUAAAACUCUGUUAUUAGGGAAGAACAUAUGUGUAAGUAGCUGUGCACAUCUUGACGGUACCUAAUCAGAAAGCCACGGCUAACUACGUG
rnacentral:rRNA from 1 species